rnacentral:rRNA from 1 species
AACGUAGGACGCAAGCGUUAUCCGGAGUUACUGGGCGUAAAGCGCGAGCAGGCGGCUCGACCAGUCUGAUGUGAAAGCGCCCGGCUCAACCGGGCGAGGCCAUUGGAAACUAUCGAGCUGGAGGGCAGUAGAGGCAGGCGGAAUUCCGGGUGGAGUGGUGAAAUGCGUAGAGAUCCGGAGGAACACCAGAGGCGAAGGCGGCCUGCUGGGGCUGCACCCUGA